rnacentral:misc_RNA from 1 species
GUAGGUGAACCUGCGGAAGGAUCAUUUCUGAACUAAGGAGGAUUGGAAAAGGGAAAGUGGCUUUAUUGCUGCAAUCUUUUUUUCUUUCUUUCCUUAUCAAAGAGAGUGUGUGGUAUAAAUGAAAAGGAAUAAUUGAAAAUGGAAAUUGAAUGGGGUUUCUCGUUUCUUUUCCAACUUUAGUUUUUCUAAUCUACUUUUAUAAACCAAAACAAGUUACUUUUUGUUCAAAACAAAACGUCUUUGGCUUCUUUAUUUUUUGAUUGAUUUAACAUUUUAAAUGUUUUAUUAUGAAAAAAAAGAGAGUUGACAAAAACACAAAAAACGACAUACAACUGUCAACGGUGGAUCUCUUGGUUCUG